AGGUAGAUAGGACAGAGGUGGAAGUGCAGCAAUGCAUGGAGCUGACUGUUACUAAUCGGUCGAGGGCUUGACCUG
rnacentral:rRNA from 1 species